UUGUGGGACAUAUUAUUCUGUACUUUCCUCCAUUUAUUAUUCUUAAAUCUAAAUUCUUAAAUAUUAUUCAUUAUUUUUUGCCUAUUUUUUUUUCUCUUUAGUUUAUCUAACCCAGACCAUCAUCCACUUUAAAGAUUUUCCCAUGACGGUGCGAACUGAAAGAAAUAUGUUAGUUUGAUGGUUUAAAACACCACUAUUAGCGUCCUUGGUAAAUACAUUUCCAUCAGUUUUCAUUGGUCGAGAACGUAGAAGAUCCCGGAUAGAACGAAGACCUUCACCAGGAAAACAAGCAAUCCUUAAUUGUCAAUUAUUAAAGGUGUCGACCACACCUUCCUAAAAUUGUUUACGUUAUUUCCCUCCAUUUAACGGCAUAUUCACCGAAAGGUUCUAUCCAGUCAUAUUUUGGGGGGUUUAAAACGUUGGUGAAGUUUAUCGGUCUAAACGACACAUUAACGAUCCACUGUUGGACGAUGCUUAUCAUUGGCUGGAUGACUCGUCGAUGUCACAAGUGGAGCAGAAAAAAAAGUCGACCCUCCCGGAGCAACUGCCAUCACCUCGGAUUUGACGUUGGUCAGUCUGGUGUUUUUUUACCUUCUUUAUUUAUCUUUUUCUUUUAAUCCUUGUGAAAUUUCUUUUUACAAUUUCAGAUUUUUAGUCCGUAUAUUUUCGCAUUUAUGCCAUUGAAUAUUUCAUAAAUUAAAUGCUUAUAAUUACCCCGAGGGGUUGAUAACAUAUAAAA
rnacentral:lncRNA from 1 species